CCUUGUACACACCGCCCGUCACACCAUGGGAGAAGGGAGAUCCCGAAGUCACUGUGCUAACCGCAAGGGGGCAGGUGCCUAAGGAUAAACUUUUGACUGGGGUG
rnacentral:rRNA from 1 species